UGGGGAAUAUUGCACAAUGGGCGCAAGCCUGAUGCAGCCAUGCCGCGUGUGUGAAGAAGGCCUUCGGGUUGUAAAGCACUUUCAGCGGGGAGGAAGGCGGUGAGGUUAAUAACCUCAUCGAUUGACGUUACCCGCAGAAGAAGCACCGGCUAACUCCGUGCCAGCAGCCGCGGUAAUACGGAGGGUGCAAGCGUUAAUCGGAAUUACUGGGCGUAAAGCGCACGCAGGCGGUCUGUCAAGUCGGAUGUGAAAUCCCCGGGCUCAACCUGGGAACUGCAUUCGAAACUGGCAGGCUAGAGUCUUGUAGAGGGGGGUAGAAUUCCAGGUGUAGCGGUGAAGUGCGUAGAGAUCUGGAGGAAUACCGGUGGCGAAGGCGGCCCCCUGGACAAAGACUGACGCUCAGGUGCGAAAGCGUGGGGAGCAAACAGG
rnacentral:rRNA from 1 species